AGGACGAACGCUGGCGGCGCGCUUAACACAUGCAAGUCGAGCGAGAACCAUUCCUUCGGGAAUGGGGACAGCGGCGAACGGGUGAGUAACACGUGGGUAAUCUGCCCUCGAUUCUGGGAUAGCCCGGGGAAACCCGGAUUAAUACCGGAUAGCCUCUCGAGCUUACGAGCUCGUGAGAAAAGGUAGCUUCGGCCUCCGAUCGAGGAUGAGCCCGCGGCGGAUUAGCUUGUUGGUGGGGUAAUGGCCUACCAAGGCGACGAUCCGUAGCUGGUCUGAGAGGACGAUCAGCCACACUGGGACUGAGACACGGCCCAGACUCCUACGGGAGGCAGCAGUGGGGAAUCUUGCGCAAUGGGCGAAAGCCUGACGCAGCGACGCCGCGUGGGGAAGAAGGCCUCGGUGUAACCUCUUCUAGCAGGACGAAGACCACUCGGUAAGUAGACCCGAGAGGUGACGGUACCGUGCGAGAAGAAGACCCCGGCUAACUACGU
rnacentral:rRNA from 1 species